rfam:Gossypium raimondii Chr05_contig_440, whole genome shotgun sequence.
AAACCAUGCAUUAGGCAUUUUCUAAUUAACUCAUUGAAUCACUCCCUUGCUUCAUAUAAUGUUUCAUCUUUAGAUUGCUUAAAGGACGUAAUAUCAUUCAUCAGUUU